UGAGGAAUAUUGGUCAAUGGGCGAGAGCCUGAACCAGCCAAGUAGCGUGCAGGAUGACGGCCCUCCGGGUUGUAAACUGCUUUUAGUUGGGAAUAAAAAAAGGGACUUGUCCCUUCUUGUAUGUACCUUCAGAAAAAGGACCGGCUAAUUCCGUGCCAGCAGCCGCGGUAAUACGGAAGGUCCAGGCGUUAUCCGGAUUUAUUGGGUUUAAAGGGAGCGUAGGCGGAUUGUUAAGUCAGCGGUUAAAGGGUGUGGCUCAACCAUGCAUUGCCGUUGAAACUGGUGAUCUUGAGUGCAGACAGGGAUGCCGGAAUUCGUGGUGUAGCGGUGAAAUGCUUAGAUAUCACGAAGAACUCCGAUCGCGAAGGCAGGUGUCCGGGCUGCAACUGACGCUGAGGCUCGAAAGUGUGGGUAUCAAACAGGAUUAGAUACCCUGGUAGUCCACACAGUAAACGAUGUAUACUCGCGGUUUGCGAUAGAGUGUAAGCCGCCAAGCGAAAGCAUUAAGUAUACCACCUGGGGAGUACGCCGGCAACGGUG
rnacentral:rRNA from 1 species